GGGAUAAAGAACAAGAAAGCUUUCAAGGGAGGGAAUGGGACAUGGAGCUCUGGUGGUGAGAACUGUGUGGAAUUGUACCCCUCUUAUCCUAUGGUUUUGUCAACAUUUCCAUUUUAUAAAUAAUUUUUUAAAUGUAUCAACUAUAAAAAAAAAAAAAAGAAAAGAAAAAUGCAUGACCUGUCAACAAGGUAACAUAGACCUACCUGGUUAGAAAAGGAGAAAGGUCCAGGUUUCACUUGGUAGAGCACAGACUUGACCAUGUAUUAAGACCUAAGACCCCAACACCACUUGGAAGCACCAUGCAUGGCACCAGGGGAAGCUCCAUGAAUUGAAUUGUAGAGUGGUACUGUGGUGACUCUUUUCUCUUUCUGUCUGAGAUUGAAGAAGAAAGGGGAGAAAGAAGAGGAGGAAGAAGAGGAAAAGAGGAAGAAAAGAAGAUCAUCAUCUUGGACCAGUGGAAUCCUGUAGGCUACAAAAAAAAGAAGAAGAAGAAAAAGAAGAGAAGGGGGAGAAAAAAGAAAGAAAAUCUCUCAACAGCUCUCAACACCCCGAGGCUGAGGGUCUGCCUACCCAGGACCUACCUCAUGACCACUGUGAGUUGCCCAAGAGACUUCUCCCAGGGAAAAUGGUAGCCGCCACCACCAAAACCGCCUUCUACGCUUUGGAAGAAAGUGCUUACAGACCCAAGUUGCAUGGAGGCAAGACAAAGAGUAAACAGAAGAGUCCAGGACCUCUGUCCAAACACCAGGGAACCCAAAGGACACAGAGCCAAAGGUCCACUGAAUAUUGAUCCACUUGGCAGCCAUGGGGCAGGCAAGAGGAAGAUCUGGUACCUUCUUGAAGAUGCUUCCUUCACCGAUUAAUAGCUGUCCCAUGGAGCUGCCGCUAGAAGCAUUUCAAACAGAGCAUUUCACCACAAUAAGCCAGGUCAUCCUUCCUUUCCCACCAGGACCUGCCUCUCUGAGUUUUCUAGUACAGAUUUUGCAAAGAAAAAAAAAUGGAGCAGAAGGCCUUUGUUCUCCCUGACCUCUGUAGUUCUCAUCUCCAUCAGAAAAGAAUAAUGUUGUAGCAAAAAACAAACAAACAAACAAACAAACAAAAAAAGCCAGCAGUCUAGGAAGGGAGAUUAUUUCAACUAGUGAGUUCAGAGGAAAGAAGACAUAGGACUUCUUUUGAAGCCCACAAAAAAUUGGAACCCCAGAGGUAUUUAUUCUGAACCUCUUCAUGGUGUCUGUAUGUACUUCAGUGUAAGGGACCAAAAUAAAUAACAUCUUGGCUUUGCCCUUAAUGGACUUAUAAGCCCCAAACCUUGGUUUCUUAAAGUGAAGCCAACUUUACUGAAGACUCAAACAGAAUCUAUGAGUUUGCUUAUUGAGAGAAAGGGGCAUUUUGCCAUCUAAAGUUUUGAGAGGUUAAUAAAGAUAUGGGAGAAGGUUCUCUGGUUGUCUAACCCCCAAAAGAAGGUAUGUAGUUCAGGGCAGGGGAGAGAGUAUAAUAGUUAUGAAAAAAAAAAAAAAAACCUUUUACAUGUGAGGCUCUGAGGUCCCAUGUUCAAUCCCCAGCACCACCAUAAACCAGAGCUGAGCAGUGCUCUGAUAAAAAUGAUGAUGAUCACAAUGCUGGAAAAGGAGGCAUACAGUUCAUCAAAGAUGGAAAUGGUGUCUUGGGUGCAUUCUGGGUGUUUCAUAAUAAGUACAGCAAUGUCCCCAAGCCCCUUAAUCCCCAAUGAGAAUCCUACAUUCACUCUAAAACCCCUCUCUCAUCAUUGUAAAAAUGGGAAGCUUAAAGGUUUCAUGAGCCAGGCAGAUAACACAAAACCAGGAACAGUGGAGCAACUCUGUACAUUUUAAAAAGCAUUGAUGUGCAGAAACCAAGGCGUUAUCUUGGCUUUCUCAGCCGCAGUCUGCAGAUCUGGUAUGGAGAGCCUGCUUCACGCUUCACCCUUUUCACCUGCGUGAGUCUGAGCACGUUAUUUACAUCCUUGCAGCUUUGAUUCCUCGGCUGUGAGAGAUAACACUACCCAGCCAACACAUAUCACCAGGUGGUUGUGAUAAUUGAAUUAGUCAAUAGUUAUCAAAGCCUCUAAAAACUAUAACUCAUCACUAAAAAUGCAAACAACACAACCCAUACCGAGUCUUCCUUAUCUCAGAAGGCUUAAUCAUGUUCUGUCUCUCUCAGAACUCAGGGACAUGCAUUCCAAUCGACUUUCCAGAAUUCCACUGAUAAUAUUUGUUGGGAAAAGUACUCCUUCCCCCACCCGCUGCCCUAACUUAUUAAGAGUAUGGCUUAUAUGAUUAUUAACUUGCUGCCCUGUGGCAAAUCAAAUCAACAAAUAUUUACUAGCUUCUGUGUCUUGCCUUGGGGGGGGGUGAAUUCACUUUCUGCAUCAAAGGAGCAAAUUGGCCAGCUGUACAUGGAACAAUUUUCAUGGAGUCUAGAAGAAGAAAGAAAAAAAAACUGUCUGGGCUCUCUAGAUGGUCCCAAUACACCUGAAGAUUUAGUUCAAAUACAAGAAACAGCUGGCAUUCAUGAUUUAAGGCUAAACCCAAAGAGUUGAGUAAAUUUAUUUUACAAGCUGUUUCAUUUGGCAAAGUUCCAGAAGUCAUCAAGCAGAGAUACGGAUGAUGAUGACGACAAUGAUGAAAAUGAGUCGUCAUAGUUGGACUUAAUAGAGUGACAUAAAAGAAGUGUCAUCUACAUGGGACAUUCCAGAGCUGGGACAUACCAUCACCCACACCCAUCCCCUGCCAAAAAAAAAAAAAAAAAAGACUUAAGAGAAAGGCCUUCUUCUUGGUGCCUCUACAAAUCGAAAGUAACCCUGUAUAUUUGACACUCUUGAGUUUGGAAGCAGGGCCUGGCAAAGUGUUGGUAAUGACUUAUAUUAGCCCAAUAAAAGGGUGUAAUACAGAAAAAGAAAAGAAACGCAAUGUUUCUUUUGCCCAAAUGCUAAACAGGACUUAACAUUCAACUGGCAAUGCUCUGUGAACUGUUAAGAUCUUUGUCAUUAAGUCUCAUGAAAAGUCUAACGAAAAUAAGGCUUCUAAUUAGAGAAAGUGCCAAUGACCUGAUUCAUAAAUGAAUUUCCACUACUUGGGGAGAAUAAUAAUUCUUAACUAACACACACUGAGUAAUUUUACUGCUGGGAAAGGUGCCGAGAAGUUAACACAUUAACUCACUGAGUUUUCUUGAUAAGCUUUUGCAAAUAUGAUGGUUAUUCUUAUUUUAUUCUUAUUUUUGUAUUGUGUCUGUGUGAUAGAAAGAAGGAAGACCAUCUACAGCUAUACCACCCUGAACACACCUGACUGCAUCUGAUCUUGGAAGCUAAGCAGGAUUAGGCCUGGUUAGUACUUAAGAUAGGAGAGAGAGGGAAGAUCAGAGCACCACUCUACCAUUUAUGAUGGUCUAUUUAUUUUUGUUUUUCUUACAUUAUGAAUUGCCAGUGAUCAAACCCAGGGUUUCACAGGCAAGGCAUGCUCUCUUCAGCCCAAGCCACUGCCCCAAUCCAUCAAGAUCCCUCCAUCCCUCCCCUCUUGCCAAGAGAGAGCAAGAGAUGGAAGCAUUGAUCUGUCAUUGUAUGCCAUGCUGAGGAUGAAAUCCAAGGUCUCAUGCAGGUCUCAACUAAGACACCUCUCUGAAUCUAUUAUUCUCCUUUUAAGAUGGUAAGGGCUAGGCAACUGUGAUAAAUUACAGUAUGGCCAAGUUCACACAACUAACCAAAGGCAUUUGGCUCUCCCAGUUGGGUCCCUCACCACCUGUAACACAGAAAUCCAAAGAGGAUGUGGACUCCCAGUCUUGAGGUAGUUUUGUGUUCAAGAUCGCAGCACAUGGGUGACAGUUAUUGGUUGUUGGAAAUGUCAUGUCAUCUCUUUCAUAUGUUUGUCUAUGCAAAAAUGCAUCAUGACAUUUUCAACAAUGCAAUAGUUCCCUCCAAAGCCACUAACUGUAUCAGUCCCUUAGUCUCUAACAUACCCAACAAAAUCUCUUUUGGCCCUGAAUAGGAUCUGGAUGUUAGGACCUUGAGCUGGCUCAAUAAAUUCCCUCCCCUAGUACUUCAAAAAAAGAAAAAUUUUUUUUUAAUUUCCCAUUAUCAGUGAGCUAUCCUUCUUGAAUCCUCAUGGUUGUUCUUAAUAAUGAAAAAUUCCAUGAAAAGUGAUUUGAUUUACAUAUAUUUCAGAAAUUUAAGUCAUGUUCCUGAAUCUUUUUCUUUUUCUUCAGGGUCUUCACUUGGAGAACAAAGCAUACUAUUUGUCUCAACCAAGAAGCAUGCUGCUCUUGAGAUUUUCCAUUCAGGAGAUGUGGAUAAUAAUGUCUAAUUCACCUAUUUCUUUUUCACAUGAUCUUGGGGAAUGCAAAAAAAAAUUACAAAGAAGAGAGCUAAGAGUAAUCUUAUAAGUUCAAGUGCCAUCUUCCCAACUUUCCCAAUCUAGAGGCCCAGCACCACCUAUCAUUCCUUACAGAAGCCAGUUCUCUUUUAUUUAUAGCCAAUCUCAUUACCCAAAUUAAAAUUUUUAAUUUAAUUGCUUACUCGAGUACUUCCUGUCUCUCCAACAAUAAUGAAAUUCCAUGUAAGAAGGGAUUCUGUCAUCUUGUCUGCCACUUGCAUUGUCAGCAUCUGAAAUUAUCCCUGGCACAGACCAGACACUCAAUAGAUGCAGAGUGAACAAUAAAGUGUGUGUGUGUGUGUGUGUGUGUGUGUGUGUGUGUGUGUGUGAAAAUCUGUAUUUUUAUAAGCAUUUUUAAAAUCAUAUUUCAGAUGCAUAAAAAUAGAUUAAUCAUAAUCCUUGUUUAAUGAGACAUGCUCACUGUUGAUUCAUUCAUGCCCCACUCUUUUAUUAUUUAUUUUGCUAUUUAACUGGGCUUUUAAAAAAUCAUGUAGGAUCUGGAAAGGUGGCUUGGCUGUAAAGCACAUGACUUGCAUCUGAGGCUCUGCACAAAAUGACAGCAUAGUGCUCUGAUCUGUCUUAUUGCUCUCCUCUCUCUCAAAAUAUACUUAAACACCAGAAAUGAUUAAAAUUUAAAACUAUGUCGCAAGUACUUGGGGAAAAAAGGACCUAAAGUAAUACAGGGUGCUUCAUUAAGCCACUGUGCCCUGACCACCCCCUUCUAGCCUUACCAUCUCCUUAUCUGAAGUAAUCAUUCAGAAUCCCAAGUUCAUUUACUGUUGUCUUGAGUUAAUUUCCCUAGAAGUAGAGCCUGAGCUAAGAUUCUUGUUUAGGUGAUUUAUUGAAGGAGUUAUCAGAAGAAGAGACAUUUGAGAAAAAGGGCAGAGCAGAGGAAAAAGCUAAGCUCAGUUGUGGAAUCAGCUGGAGACUGGAUUCGGAGCCCAAAAGCAUAUGCUGCUCUUGGUGUUGAGGGACUUGAAUUAAAAGGCUUAAGUGUUUGUAUCCCCACUCCACCCUGCACCCCCACCUCAAUUCUGCUUAACUUGUACAGAGGUGAUAUAGAGAAAUAUGGUGUGCAGCCUUCUGAGUUGACACAACCCCCAUCUAACUAAAAACAACUAUUCAGAGACAGAAAGCACCAUCGCAGCCAUGGGCAUUUGUAGCUGCAGUUCAGUGCAUGUAAGUGACAAGGAAAAGGGACUUGGGCAUGUUGGUUGUGCUUUUUUCCCCUACUUAUACCAUUUUGUCAAGUGUGUAUGUCUUCUUUUAAAGUAUGUAGAUACUUCUUUUUUCCAAUCAUUUGGAACUUUCUAGAAAGGAAACCAUAUUGAGACCUGUUUUGACUAGUGAACUUUUGGGUUGUUUUUAGGUGGUCACUAGUAUGGCCAGUGUUGCUGUGAAUUUCCUCCUGGGUGUCUCUUUAUGAGUAAGUGCAAGAAUGUAUUGAGUUUUGGGCUGGGCUGGAAUAAGUGGGUCCUAAAAUAGGAACUUUUGAAGACAAUGCCAAAAUGGUUUUUCCAAAGUGAUUUUACUAAUCCAUAAGCAGUAUGUAAGAGAUCUAGUCAUUUACUUCCCUGCUCCAAUGUUCUGAUUCAUGUAAACUAAAUGAGUAGGCCAUCAUAUUUCACUAGGGACUGUUGAGUAGGUCACUAAGUUCCUCCCAGGCCAAUCAGAUAUGUUUCCUCAUAUGGAAAAUGUUUGCUCAUGUCUUGGUCCAUUUUUUCUAUUUUCUUAGCUAUGCUUCUUUAUUCAUCUGUAGGCAUUCUUUAACCAUCUUUUGUUGUGUUCAUGCACUUUGUAAAUAUCUCCUCUUAGUAACUUUCCUCAGUGUCUUUGAGUGAACAGAGAUGUUUUCUAAUUUUUUAAAUAUUUAUUUCUUUAUUUUAUUUGAUAAGACAUAGAAGGAUUGAGAG